rnacentral:rRNA from 1 species
UGGGGAAUAUUGGACAAUGGGCGCAAGCCUGAUCCAGCCAUGCCGCGUGAGUGAUGAAGGCCCUAGGGUUGUAAAGCUCUUUCACCGGUGAAGAUAAUGACGGUAACCGGAGAAGAAGCCCCGGCUAACUUCGUGCCAGCAGCCGCGGUAAUACGAAGGGGGCUAGCGUUGUUCGGAUUUACUGGGCGUAAAGCGCACGUAGGCGGACUAUUAAGUCAGGGGUGAAAUCCCGGGGCUCAACCCCGGAACUGCCUUUGAUACUGGUAGUCUUGAGUUCGAGAGAGGUGAGUGGAAUUCCGAGUAUAGAGGUGAAAUUCGUAGAUAUUCUGAGGAACACCAGUGGCGAAGGCGGCUCACUGGCUCGAUACUGACGCUGAGGUGCGAAAGCGUGGGGAGCAAACAGG